UACAGAGACGUCGAGCGUUGUUCGGAUUCAUUGGGCGUAAAGGGUGCGUAGGCGGUGAGGUAAGUCGGAUGUGAAAUCCCAAGGCUUAACCUUGGAAGUGCAUCCGAAACUACCUCGCUAGAGGACUGGAAGGGAGACUGGAAUUCUCGGUGUAGCGGUGAAAUGCGUAGAUAUCGAGAGGAACACCUGUGGCGAAGGCGGCGAUCUGGGAAGAUACUGACGCUGAGGUGCGAAAGCGUGGGGAGCAAACAGG
rnacentral:rRNA from 1 species